AGCAGCCGCGGUAAUUCCAGCUCCAAUAGCGUAUAUUAAAGUUGUUGCAGUUAAAAAGCUCGUAGUCGAAUUUCGGGAUUGGCGCAUCGGUCGUGCCUCACGGGGUAUGAACUGGUGCAGUCAAUUUCUCACCUUCUGGAGAACCGCGAUGUCCUUAAUUGGAUGCCGCGGGGAACCAGGACCUUUACUUUGAAAAAUUAGAGUGUUUAAAGCAGGCAUUUUUGCUUGAAUACAUUAGCAUGGAAUAAUAAAAUAGGACGGCAUGGUUCUAUUUUGUUGGUUUCUAGGACCACCGUAAUGAUUAAUAGGGAUAGUUGGGGGCAUUAGUAUUCAAUUGUCAGAGGUGAAAUUCUUGGAUUUAUUGAAGACUAACUACUGCGAAAGCAUUUGCCAAGGAUGUUUUCAUUAAUCAAGAACGAAAGUUAGGGGAUCGAAGACGAUCAGAUACCG
rnacentral:rRNA from 1 species